rnacentral:rRNA from 1 species
AGCAGCCGCGGUAAUUCCAGCUCCAAUAGCGUAUAUUAAAGUUGUUGCAGUUAAAAAGCUCGUAGUUGAAUUUCGGGAUCAGUACGCUGGUCAUGCCUUUGGUAUGCACUGGUGUCACUGGUUUCUCCCUUCUGAAGAACCGUGAUGUCAUUAAUUUGGUGUCGCGGGGAAUCAGGACUGUUACUUUGAAAAAAUUGAGUGUUUAAAGCAGGCUCACGCUUGAAUCAUUAGCAUGGAAUAAUGAAAUAGGACGUUUGACCCUAUUUUGUUGGUUUCUAGGAUCGACGUAAUGAUUAAUAGGGAUAGUUGGGGGCAUUAGUAUUCAAUUGUCAGAGGUGAAAUUCUUGGAUUUAUUGAAGACUAACUACUGCGAA